rnacentral:rRNA from 1 species
UCGGGAAUUUUGGGCAAUGGGCGAAAGCCUGACCCAGCAACGCCGCGUGAAGGAUGAAGUAUUUCGGUAUGUAAACUUCGAAAGAAUAGGAAGAAUAAAUGACGGUACUAUUUAUAAGGUCCGGCUAACUACGUGCCAGCAGCCGCGGUAAUACGUAGGGACCAAGCGUUGUUCGGAUUUACUGGGCGUAAAGGGCGCGUAGGCGGCAAUUCAAGUUCAUCUGUGAAAUCUCCGGGCUUAACUCGGAACGGUCAGAUGAUACUGCUUUGCUAGAGUGCAGAAGGGGCAAUCGGAAUUCUUGGUGUAGCGGUGAAAUGCGUAGAUAUCAAGAGGAACACCUGAGGUGAAGACGGGUUGCUGGGCUGACACUGACGCUGAGGCGCGAAAGCCAGGGGAGCAAACGGGAUUAGAUACCCCCGUAGUCCCUGAGCGGGCUGGCAAGGCGCAU